GAUGAACGCUGGCGGCGUGCCUAAUACAUGCAAGUCGAGCGAACAGAUGAGGAGCUUGCUCCUCUGACGUUAGCGGCGGACGGGUGAGUAACACGUGGAUAACCUACCUAUAAGACUGGGAUAACUUCGGGAAACCGGAGCUAAUACCGGAUAAUAUAUUGAACCGCAUGGUUCAAUGGUGAAAGACGGUUUUGCUGUCACUUAUAGAUGGAUCCGCGCCGCAUUAGCUAGUUGGUAAGGUAACGGCUUACCAAGGCAACGAUGCGUAGCCGACCUGAGAGGGUGAUCGGCCACACUGGAACUGAGACACGGUCCAGACUCCUACGGGAGGCAGCAGUAGGGAAUCUUCCGCAAUGGGCGAAAGCCUGACGGAGCAACGCCGCGUGAGUGAUGAAGGUCUUCGGAUCGUAAAACUCUGUUAUUAGGGAAGAACAAAUGUGUAAGUAACUAUGCACGUCUUGACGGUACCUAAUCAGAAAGCCACGGCUAACUACGUG
rnacentral:rRNA from 1 species